rnacentral:lncRNA from 1 species
CAAUUUUGUCUUCAUAAACAGAUUAUCUGCGUUACAACAGUUCCCUCCAUUGAUCUCAUGGUCCUUUUUGCCACCAAAGAGGUUUGACCCCCAGAGCAGAAGACAAGGGAUGUCAUAUUGUAUCUAUAGGUUCAUCAGCUAAGAUAUGGAGUCCAAGCCAGCUUGAACAGGAUCAUCUGAGGGAGAGAAGAUGAAGAAGAGACUGUCCAAUAUGGUAGUCACCAGUGUCAUACGGCUAUGGAGCCCUAGAACUGCGGCUGACGACAUUGAGAUGUGCUAGAAUGAGAGAACCCUCUGAUGUGGAGUGAGCAGGACCUGAAAUUACUUCCAGAACUAUCCUUGGCACACACCACAAAGCCCCAAAGCUUUGACUUGUAAGUUUCUAUAGUCUUGCUGGUCAUGCCCUGGAAUGACUCAGCAGGAUCAAGACCAGUUACAAAAUUUUACCACUUUUCUUUGUGCCCAGUCUAGAAAGAUUUCUGAGAAGGGUUGUGAUGUAUCCCAAAUGAUAUGCAGAAGUGUAUGGGAGUGUAGGUGACUAUGCUGCAGGUAUGUUUUUUUGCCCAGUGUACACUUGUGAGGUCCUGGUCAACAUAAAGAAUAAAGACAGGUUGCCUCUUUGUUUUCACACUCGACUGUUCCCACUAUGCUAUGGCUAACUCUAUGCUGCUCUCAAGGACACAGCUGUCUCUCCUCCAUCAUAAUGUAAAGAUAAA